rnacentral:rRNA from 1 species
CUGGCUCAGGAUGAACGCUAGCGACAGGCUUAACACAUGCAAGUCGAGGGGCAGCGGUGGUGAAGGCUUGCCUUUACCAGCCGGCGACCGGCGCACGGGUGAGUAACACGUAUGCAACCUGCCUGCCACAGCCGGAUAAUCGGGAGAAAUUCCGUCUAAUACGGCAUAAUGCAUCGACGGGACAUCCUGUUGGUGCCAAAGGUUGAUUCCGGUAGCGGAUGGGCAUGCGUCGCAUUAGCUAGUUGGCGGUGUAACGGACCACCAAGACGACGAUGCGUAGGGGUUCUGAGAGGAAGGUCCCCCACACUGGUACUGAGACACGGACCAGACUCCUACGGGAGGCAGCAGUGAGGAAUAUUGGUCAAUGGGCGGGAGCCUGAACCAGCCAAGUCGCGUGAGGGAUGACGGCCCUAUGGGUUGUAAACCUCUUUUGCCGGGGAGCAAAGUGCCGCACGUGUGCGGUUUGGAGAGUACCCGGAGAAAAAGCAUCGGCUAACUCCGUGCCAGCAGCCGCGGUAAUACGGAGGAUGCGAGCGUUAUCCGGAUUUAUUGGGUUUAAAGGGUGCGUAGGCGGACGCUUAAGUCAGCGGUAAAAUUGCGGGGCUCAACCUCGUCGAGCCGUUGAAACUGGGUGCCUUGAGUGGGCGAGAAGUACGCGGAAUGCGUGGUGUAGCGGUGAAAUGCAUAGAUAUCACGCAGAACUCCGAUUGCGAAGGCAGCGUACCGGCGCCCAACUGACGCUGAAGCACGAAGGCGUGGGUAUCGAACAGGAUUAGAUACCCUGGUAGUCCACGCAGUAAACGAUGAAUGCUAGUUGUCCGGGGCGAUUGAGUUCUGGGUGACACAGCGAAAGCGUUAAGCAUUCCACCUGGGGAGUACGCCGGCAACGGUGAAACUCAAAGGAAUUGACGGGGGCCCGCACAAGCGGAGGAACAUGUGGUUUAAUUCGAUGAUACGCGAGGAACCUUACCCGGGCUCAAACGCAGGAGAGAUGUUUUUGAAAGGAGGCAGCCAGCAAUGGUCUCCUGCGAGGUGCUGCAUGGUUGUCGUCAGCUCGUGCCGUGAGGUGUCGGCUUAAGUGCCAUAACGAGCGCAACCCCUACCUACAGUUGCCAUCGCGUGAUGGCGGGCACUCUGUGGGGACUGCCUGCGCAAGCAGUGAGGAAGGCGGGGAUGACGUCAAAUCAGCACGGCCCUUACGUCCGGGGCGACACACGUGUUACAAUGGCAGGUACAGCGGGAAGCCACCCGGCGACGGGGCGCGGAACCCGAAAACCUGUCUCAGUUCGGAUUGGAGUCUGCAACCCGACUCCAUGAAGCUGGAUUCGCUAGUAAUCGCGCAUCAGCCACGGCGCGGUGAAUACGUUCCCGGGCCUUGUACACACCGCCCGUCAAGCCAUGGAAGCCGGGGGUGCCUGAAGUGCGUGACCGCAAGGAGCGCCCUAGGGUAAAACCGGUGACUGGGGCUAAGUCGUAACAAGG